UACUUGGUGUUACUGCGAAGGGGGGACGGAGAAGGCUAUGUUGGCCGGGCGACGGUUGUCCCGGUUUAAGCGUGUAGGCUGGUUUUCCAGGCAAAUCCGGAAAAUCAAGGCUGAGGCGUGAUGACGAGGCACUACGGUGCUGAAGCAACAAAUGCCCUGCUUCCAGGAAAAGCCUCUAAGCAUCAGGUAACAUCAAAUCGUACCCCAAACCGACACAGGUGGUCAGGUAGAGAAUACCAAGGCGCUUGAGAGAACUCGGGUGAAGGAACUAGGCAAAAUGGUGCCGUAACUUCGGGAGAAGGCACGCUGAUAUGUAGGUGAAGUCCCUCGCGGAUGGAGCUGAAAUCAGUCGAAGAUACCAGCUGGCUGCAACUGUUUAUUAAAAACACAGCACUGUGCAAACACGAAAGUGGACGUAUACGGUGUGACGCCUGCCCGGUGCCGGAAGGUUAAUUGAUGGGGUCAGCGCAAGCGAAGCUCUUGAUCGAAGCCCCGGUAAACGGCGGCCGUAACUAUAACGGUCCUAAGGUAGCGAAAUUCCUUGUCGGGUAAGUUCCGACCUGCACGAAUGGCGUAAUGAUGGCCAGGCUGUCUCCACCCGAGACUCAGUGAAAUUGAACUCGCUGUGAAGAUGCAGUGUACCCGCGGCAAGACGGAAAGACCCCGUGAACCUUUACUAUAGCUUGACACUGAACAUUGAGCCUUGAUGUGUAGGAUAGGUGGGAGGCUUUGAAGUGUGGACGCCAGUCUGCAUGGAGCCGGCCUUGAAAUACCACCCUUUAAUGUUUGAUGUUCUAACGUUGACCCGUGAUCCGGGUUGCGGACAGUGUCUGGUGGGUAGUUUGACUGGGGCGGUCUCCUCCUAAAGAGUAACGGAGGAGCACGAAGGUUGGCUAAUCCUGGUCGGACAUCAGGAGGUUAGUGCAAUGGCAUAAGCCAGCUUGACUGCGAGCGUGACGGCGCGAGCAGGUGCGAAAGCAGGUCAUAGUGAUCCGGUGGUUCUGAAUGGAAGGGCCAUCGCUCAACGGAUAAAAGGUACUCCGGGGAUAACAGGCUGAUACCGCCCAAGAGUUCAUAUCGACGGCGGUGUUUGGCACCUCGAUGUCGGCUCAUCACAUCCUGGGGCUGAAGUAGGUCCCAAGGGUAUGGCUGUUCGCCAUUUAAAGUGGUACGCGAGCUGGGUUUAGAACGUCGUGAGACAGUUCGGUCCCUAUCUGCCGUGGGCGCUGGAGAACUGAGGGGGGCUGCUCCUAGUACGAGAGGACCGGAGUGGACGCAUCACUGGUGUUCGGGUUGUCAUGCCAAUGGCACUGCCCGGUAGCUAAAUGCGGAAGAGAUAAGUGCUGAAAGCAUCUAAGCACGAAACUUGCCCCGAGAUGAGUUCUCCCUGACUCCUUGAGAGUCCUGAAGGAACGUUGAAGACGACGACGUUGAUAGGCCGGGUGUGUAAGCGCAGCGAUGCGUUGAGCUAACCGGUACUAAUGAACCGUGAGG
rnacentral:rRNA from 1 species